GGUGAACGCUGGCGGUAGGCCUAACACAUGCAAGCCGAACGGCAGCACAGUAAGAGCUUGCUCUUACGGGUGGCGAGUGGCGGACGGGUGAGGAAUACAUCGGAAUCUACUUUUUCGUGGGGGAUAACGUAGGGAAACUUACGCUAAUACCGCAUACGACCUACGGGUGAAAGCAGGGGAUCUUCGGACCUUGCGCGAUUGAAUGAGCCGAUGUCGGAUUAGCUAGUUGGCGGGGUAAAGGCCCACCAAGGCGACGAUCCGUAGCUGGUCUGAGAGGAUGAUCAGCCACACUGGAACUGAGACACGGUCCAGACUACUACGGGAGGCAGCAGUGGGGAAUAUUGGACAAUGGGCGCAAGCCUGAUCCAGCCAUACCGCGUGGGUGAAGAAGGCCUUCGGGUUGUAAAGCCCUUUUGUUGGGAAAGAAAAGCAGCAGGUUAAUACCCCGCUGUUCUGACGGUACCCAAAGAAUAAGCACCGGCUAACUUCGUG
rnacentral:rRNA from 1 species